GUGGACAUCUUGUGUGCCGCUGUGGUAUUAAUAUGAGUGUGUAUUAUUUCUUUCUUUAUUCUUUAGUGGAGAGAGAUCCUGUUUACUGUGGACUAGUGUGACGCCCUGUUUUUGUUUCCAUUCAAAAAAAGCAUCAUUUACUGCCUGGAUUUUUGCCUACAACUGCUCCUGCUGCGUUCGCUUAAUCAACGCAAACAUGAAUAGAAAGACUGUGCCUGUCUCUUUAUCAACCUUAAGACGAAGGACACGUGUAGACGUUCAAAAAAGGCUUCAUCAUUGUGUAAUAGGAAGGAGCCUGGAUCCAGCCUGGCCUACAGGCCAACAUGGCGAGGG